rnacentral:rRNA from 1 species
CCUACGGGAGGCAGCAGUAGGGAAUAUUGCUCAAUGGGGGAAACCCUGAAGCAGCAACGCCGCGUGGAGGAUGAAGGUUUUCGGAUUGUAAACUCCUUUUGUUAGAGAAGAGAAUGACGGUAUCUAACGAAUAAGCACCGGCUAACGCCGUGCCAGCAGCCGCGGUAAUACGGAGGGUGCAAGCGUUAUUCGGAAUAACUGGGCGUAAAGGGCGCGUAGGCGGGAUAGCAAGUCAGAUGUGAAAUCCUAUGGCUUAACCGUAGAACUGCAUUUGAAACUGUUAUUCUAGAGUAUGGGAGAGGUAGGUGGAAUUCUUGGUGUAGAGGUGAAAUCCGUAGAGAUCAAGAGGAAUACUCAUUGCGAAGGCGGCCUGCUAGAACGUAACUGACGCUGAUGCGCGAAAGCGUGGGGAGCAAACAGGAUUAGAUACCCGAGUAGUC